AGGGGAAGAUACGUGGUGCUUCCAAUGCGACGGUUUGACACAUUUACAAUACUGCGAUCAGGUACAGAAAUGCCAGACACAAGAUGAGGUAUGUUAUGUACAAAAAUAUCACAGAAACCUUGGCGGCAAUAUUUUCCGAUCUGGCUGCAUUCGUUCUGAGCAAUGUAACAACCAUAACAGUAACAAAGGUUGUAUGGAAUGUUGCCAUGGCAAUUUCUGUAAUACAGCUGGAUGUGGAGAAACAAGUUCGAUCCAUGAAUAUAGUAUUCUUAUUUCUUAGAAGAAUUAUUAAUUCUGUAUGUAUACAGCUUAAUGUCAUUCUUAGCUAAAUAAUAAUAACAAUAUAACAUAUUUAUUGCAUAUAUACUAUUCGAAAACUAGGAGACGUACUUCGAUUAAAUUUGUUUGUUGUUAACUUAAAUUUAUGAAGUACAUUUCGAUAAGAAUGUUAGAUCACUUAGUUUUAACUUGCCGCAUUCAAUAGAAUAAAAUACUUAGUAUACAAGCAAGAAUAUAACAUAAUGAUUGUUUAUACACAAGUCUUUCCAGUCGUUUUAAACUAAUAUGUUGUAAUUAAGAUAUUAUUAUAGUAUGUAGUAAGCAAUAAAGAACAAGAAUGACUACCUGAAAAGAAAGUUGCGUCUGUUGGUUUUAUAGACACUUUGUUGACAUACAUAAUGCUUUUGCUAAUUUUAUUACACAAGGCAUACCUGCACCAGGACAAAGAGGUCCUAUUUGCUUUGAAUGUACUCACAUAGGAGAAGAUGAGGCCUGUAAGACAGUGCAGCUGUGUCAUUCUAAUCAGGCCUGCAUGGUUGCCAAGUAUGAGUGGGGAGACAACAAUUUCUUUUACGAGAU